UACGUAGGGUGCAAGCGUUGUCCGGAAUUAUUGGGCGUAAAGAGCUCGUAGGCGGUCUGUUACGUCGGCUGUGAAAACCUGGGGCUCAACCCCGGGCCUGCAGCCGAUACGGGCAGACUAGAAUUCGGUAGGGGAGACUGGAAUUCCUGGUGUAGCGGUGGAAUGCGCAGAUAUCAGGAGGAACACCGGUGGCGAAGGCGGGUCUCUGGACAGUUCCUGACGCUGAGGCACGAAGGCCAGGGGAGCAAACGGG
rnacentral:rRNA from 1 species